GGCUGCAGCAGCUGCUGCUGAAGGGCUUCACCUCUCUCACCACCACGGACCUGACCCUGCAGCUUUUCAGCUUGCUGACACCAGUGUCCAGAGUGCCCAUGGUGGACUCGUCCCAAGCUAUCGGAUUUCCGCUGAAUGUCCUGUGUCUCCUGCCUCAGCUGAUCCAGCAUUUUGAAAAUCCCAAUCAGUUCUGUAAGGGCAUCGCCGAAAGGAUUGCUCAGGUUUGCUUGGAAGAAAAGAAUCCUAAACUUUCAAAUCUGGCCCACGUCAUGACCCUUUACAAAACACACAGCUACACAAGGGACUGCGCCACGUGGGUCAACGUCGUCUGCCGCUACCUUCACGAAGCCUAUGCUGACAUCACCCUGAACAUG
rnacentral:lncRNA from 1 species